AGCAUGAAAAAGCUGUUUUUUAUUAAUAUUUAGUUACUUAAUAGUCUUUCGGCGUCCAUCUGGGAGUACCUCGCUCACUUUGUUCGAGACGCGCAAGAAAACAUUUCAGGGUUCACGUGAGCUCAUCAGGCAGCCCGGCCGCGGAUAGAGUUUUGAUAUAUUGUCCAGUACGAGGAUUCCGGGCUUGUAUAAAACAGCCACCGUGUUUGCCAUUGCUGUGGCCGAACGAUACACCGCCCGGACAAGGACCAUUCAUUUGUGCGCUCACCUGGACAAAAUCGUGCAGCCAUGACACCGAGGCGACCUGCAACGACAUGCGUACUGCUCGCCCUCAUCCUGCUCCUCGGCUUCCUCGCCUCGGCCAACGCAUGCGACCAGCUGGAGUGCGCCCACCGCUGCCACACCGCCGCGGCCCAUUGGGGCUCCUGCAUUCGUGGCAUGUGCACUUGCGGAGAGCUGGGGCCGCCCACCACCGCCGUGCACCUGCCGCCUCCGUUCCUCGGAGGGCCGUUGUUUUAGAAGCCGCCGCAUGAGCUGGCGCCUUCGUUUGACCGCACUUCAGACGAAUAAAAUUCGCGCCCAACUCGUC